ACUCAAAUGAAUUGACGGGGACCCGCACAAGCGGUGGAGCAUGUGGAUUAAUUCGAAGCAACGCGAAGAACCUUACCAAGGCAUGACAUACCACGGACGUUCGUAGAGAUACGGAUUCCCUUCGGGGCUGUGGAUACAGGUGGUGCAUGGUUGUCGUCAGCUCGUGUCGUGAGAUGUUGGGUUAAGUCCCGCAACGAGCGCAACCCCUACGUUCAGUAGCCAUCGGAUAAAGCCGGGUACACUGGAUGGACUGCCGUGGAUAACACGGAGGAAGGUGGGGAUGAGGUCAAAUCAUCAUGCCCCUUAAGUCUUGGGCAUCACACGUGCUACAAUGGGCGCAACAGAGUGAAGCGAGCAGGCGACUGUAAGCAAAGCACAAAAAAGCGUCCUCAGUUCGGAUUGUAGUCUGCAACCCGACUACAUGAAGUCGGAAUCGCUAGUAAUCGCGAAUCAGCAUGUCGCGGUGAAUACGUUCCCGGGUCUUGUACACACCGCCCGU
rnacentral:rRNA from 1 species